AUUGAACGCUGGCGGCAGGCCUAACACAUGCAAGUCGAGCGAGCGGCGGACGGGGGAGUAAUGUCUGGGAAACUGCCUGAUGGAGGGGGAUAACUACUGGAAACGGUAGCUAAUACCGCAUACCAUCAGAUGUGCCCAGAUGGGAUUAGCUGGUAGGUGGGGUAACGCCUCACCUGGGCGACGAUCCCUAGCUGGUCUGAGAGGAUGACCAGCAACACUGGAAUUGGGACACGGUCCAGACUCCUACGGAGGGCGGCGGUGGGAAAUAUUGGACAAUGGGCGAAAUCCUAAUGCAGCCCUGCCGCGUGUGUGAAGAGGGCCUUCGGGUUGUAAAGCACUUUCAGCGGGGAGGCGUUACCCGCAGAAGAAGCACCGGCUAACUCCGUGCCAGCAGCCGCGGUAAUUC
rnacentral:rRNA from 1 species